GUGGGAGCAAUCCCGCGAGUAAAGUGGCGCACGGGUGAGUAACACGUGACUAACCUACCUUGGAGUUCGGAAUAACCCCGGGAAACCGGGGCUAAUACCGGAUGAUACCUUUGGGUCAAAGGAGCAAUUCGCUCUGAGAGGGGGUCGCGGCUGAUUAGCUAGUUGGCAGGGUAAUGGCCUACCAAGGCGACGAUCAGUAUCCGGCCUGAGAGGGCGCACGGACACACUGGAACUGAAACACGGUCCAGACUCCUACGGGAGGCAGCAGUGGGGAAUUUUGCACAAUGGGGGAAACCCUGAUGCAGCAACGCCGCGUGGAGGAUGAAGGUCUUUGGAUUGUAAACUCCUUUCGACCGGGACGAUAAUGACGGUACCGGGAGAAGAAGCACCGGCUAACUCUGUGCCAGCAGCCGCGGUAAUACAGAGGGUGCAAGCGUUGUUCGGAAUUAUUGGGCGUAAAGGGCGCGUAGGCGGUGCGGUAAGUCUGCGGUGAAAUCUCCCGGCUCAACUGGGAGGCUGCCGUGGAAACUGCCGUGCUUGAGUGUGGGAG
rnacentral:rRNA from 1 species